rnacentral:lncRNA from 1 species
UUUCUGUCAGGGCUGCCGGCAGCCCGGCGCCCAUUAGCCAACGCGGCUCCGCUUUCCCAGGCGCGCCGGGCGCUUCCCGCCGCGGGCGGCCCCGCAGGUGAGCCCACGCGUGCGCCCCACCGUUGCCCUCCCGCCGCGCACCGCCCCCUCGCUCCCCCGCUGGUGUCUGUCUCGCCCCUCCCGAAGCCCUGGCCAGCACCCGGAGCCUCACCUCGGCGAGCAGGUGAGAGCCCUUCCCGGCCUCGCUCAGGCCGCGGAGCGGCGCAACCGCCGGCCGGGGGCGCACGGCGGAGAGGACCGCCCCCCCGCGUCGCUGUCCCUGAGCUGCUCCUCUCCUCCCCCGCCCGCCCGCGGGGCAGCGGCGGACGAGACCAUGAGGGCGCGUGCGGGGGGGACGCGGCUAAAGAGGUGCCUCUCCGAGGCGCCGCGGCCCAGCCGGGAGACGGGCAGCUGGCUCCUCUGAGCCGCCGUGGGGGCCUGCAAGGAGAGGGCGGCCGCCGCCACCGCCAGGCAGCCCCGCACCUCCCCCCGGCCGACUGCGGGAGUUGGUGCCGGCCAGCGGCGGCUCUGAGGAGGCGGGGGGCGGCGGGGGCGCAGGUGAGCCCGCGGCGCCCUUCCCCCCGCGCGCCGUGUCUGUUUCCGGCGCGCUCGCGUCCCCGCUCCGCCGCGGCCGGGGGAGGCGAGGCAGGCGGGCGGGCGGGCGCCGCGCAGGUAACGGGCCGGGAGCGCGGGUUGCGGCGCCGAGCAGCCGCCCUUCCCCUCUGUCCCCAGCGCCGGGCGCCGCCGGCCCUGACAGGCGCCGAGGAAGGGUACGGGCCCACCUUCCGGGCGACCCCUGCCCCCCACCCCGGGGCCGUUCACUCUGGAACCGACCGGCGGCGGCGCGGGGGGCGGGGCCGCAGAGCCGCUCCGCGGUCCCGAUUGGCGGCGCCGCGGCCCUCCCGCCCCUCCCGGCGCUGGCCCGGGCGCCCCCCGCCCCGAGGGGGGGCUGUGCCGGGGCCGGGCCGGGGCCGCGGUCGUUGCAGGCAGCAGCCGCACGCGGGCAGGGCUGCCCCGUUCCCCGGUGACCUCCCGAGUAGCGCCCCGCAUGUGUUGGGGUGCGAGAGCCGCUUCUGGCAGAGGCAGGCUCCUGCGCGGCUGGGUCGGGCCGGGGCCCAGCAGCCGGUGUUGCGGGGGUCGGCCCUCCGGCGGAGCCCCCGCCUCCCCCCGCCUCCUGCGUGGCAGGGCUCCCAUCCGCGGAAUGCGCCUUCUCCCGCAGACGUCCCAGCUGCUGAGAUGACAGAUAACACAUACUGUCAAUUUGCUUUUUAA